rnacentral:lncRNA from 1 species
UGCUAUAGGAUUUGAUAUGAUGUUGACUUAGUGAUGCUUAUGGCAUAUUUGGGUACUACUGCUUUGUUGUGCUAUCCACAAUGAUAGUAUUAUUCAGAUACGACCAUAUAUGAAUGAAAGGUAUGAUUUAACUAAAAUAUUAUAAUUUAUUGUGCUAUCCACAAGGCUAUAAAUAUUUUAGAGGCAAAAGAUAAGUUGAGAGUUGCA